rnacentral:rRNA from 1 species
GUCUCAGGCCGUAUCAGCCUGAAGGCGCUCGAUCUCGUCUGAUCUCGGAAGCUAAGCAGGGUCGGGCCUGGUUAGUAUCUUGGGAUGGGAGACCACCUGGGAAUCCCGGGUGCUCGAGGCU